GAGGAUAUAGCUCAGUGGCAGAGUGUGUGUUUAGCAUGCACAAGGUUCUAGGUUCAAUCUCCAGUGCCUCCG
rnacentral:tRNA from 1 species